CAUCCAUCCUAUGUUGAUACCUGCUCCUCGGAGGACCUGAAUUAACACAACAAUGAACUUUCUGAAAGUAUCUUUGUUUGCAUUUGAUUGUGCAUGAGGUUCUUUAUGAGGGAGGCUGGUGAUGUGAGAUGGAAAAAGCUUCAUUAGGAGCUGGGGCUUGGCUCUGGCUCCUCCCAGCUACGUGGUCUUGACAUUUAGCCUUGCUCCCUAGUUAGACCUCAGCUUCUUUAUCAGAAAAAUGGGGAUAAUAAAUUACCUGCAUCAUAAAGUUAUUGUGGAGAUUAAGAAGAUAGUGAAUUCAAGAUCUCAGUGCACAUAACAAUAGCUGCUAUUUACUGAGUGCUUUCCAUGUGCUUUUGAUAUAACUCACUUAAUCCUAGCAAUUUCCAUAUGAGAUAUGUACUUCACUCGCAAGAAAACCAAGGCAUAGAGUGGCUAAGAGGUAGAGCUAGAAUUUGAACCCUUCAGAGCCCAGAGCUUCAGAGCUCAGGCUCUUUAACUACCACCCUAUGAUUUUCCCCAAAUAGCACAUGCUCGGGAAAUGACUGUUGGGAUUCCAUCAAUAAAUCCAAUAUGUUUUUUUCCACUUUCUACCCCUGUGACUGUGGCAAGGGUCUUCAACUGAAGACAAUCUUGUCAUUUUGUGAAGGUGAAGUGAGGAAAGGGAUGUAAAACAGCUGUGGUUGGUGCUUAGUAGCUGUUCACCUGAAUUUCAGCUAGGAUUAAAAUUACAAUUAUUAUUAGCUUUGAAAUGCUGAUUCCUCUUUCUUUGUAUACUUAAUGGGUACAGUAAAGGAGCAAUGGGUUGUUUGUUCCCAGCUUUCAGAUGUGAUGUCUAAAUGAGAAUUGAAAUAAACCAUGAAGGAACUGAGUUGCAAACACUUCUCUGAUGACUACAGCAGCUCAACCUACUGCCUGCCCAGGGCCAUCAAUAAUAAAUGUCCACAGACAGCUGAAGGACAUUAAAGACAGAUGGUGAUGGAUCAGAGCACUCAUCAGCCACUGGGUGUAGACUGUAUAAAAAGCUGAGCCCAGAGGCCACCAUGAUCAACCUGCAACCUGGCAAGAAAUGGACUCAACUCCACAGACAGCAGUUGUCAGGGAGCCCAGACAUGUAAGGAUGCGGCAAAGGCCCUCGCCAGAUGCUGAAUGCGGAUGCCGUCAUCUUGGACUUCCUAGCUUCCAGAACGAGCUGCACUGACACCCGUGGAUAUGUCCCUUUUGUGCAAAUGUGGAUUUCUCUAAAGGAGAAUGUACUGAGAGAUGCUACAUCACUCUCUGAAGUGGCCACUUGGACCAAUUAGCAUCUCCAGUGAUGGUACAGCGUGCCCAUUCCUCUACGUCCUCACCAACACUAGGUAUGAGCAUGCUUAUUAAUGGUCCUAAGCUGACGUAAGUGAUGUGUGUGUAUGUCACUGCUGUUUCAUUUUGAAAUGUGCUUAUUUGUGUGAGAGGUUGAGAAUAUUUUCAUGUUGACGGAUCAUGAAAUAUUCCCCCUCAAGGAAUUUCCUAUUUAUAUUAUUUUCCCCAUCUUUCUAUUGAGUUUGUCUUUUAAAUAGGGAUUCUUUUUACAUUCUGGUUACUGAUAUUUUGUUAAUUACAUGGAUUGUAAAAUCUGUUCUUAUCUUUUCAUGUUUUUUCCUGCUUCUUGGCAAGUGAGUUUAUACUGUUAAUUAGAAAACUUUAUCACACUUUUUAUUUGUGACUUGUACUUUUCCUAUCAUGAAAAAAGGUUUUCUUCAAAUCGGUUCCUAUUCUGUUCUCAUAAAGAUAUUUGCCCAUGUUUUCUUCUAACAGUUCUAUAGUUUUGUUUUUGACAUUCAUAUUUUUACAUUAUAGAAUUAUUUUUAAUAUGAUGGCAGAUAAUGAUCAAAUGUUAUCUUCUUCUGAAAAUGUGCUAGAAUUACUUGUUUGGUCUAUUACCUUCUGCUAAUUUUAAAGCUGCCUCUGUCAUAUACCAAGCUUGCAUCUAUAUGUGGCUCAGUGUCCAGGCUGCCUGACAUCCCAGGACAAUGCUGCACUGAUUUACUCUCUACAGCUCCAUGAAGCAGUGAUGAAAGCAAGGAAAAUUUUAUUCCUAACUUCAGAGGGAAUAUAUGCAAUGUUGCACUCUUCAGGUAUGAUAUUUCUGUACAUUUUAGCAGAGACUCUUCAUCAGGUAAUGCUGUUCUUUUCUAUUUUUAGAUUGCUGUUCUUUUAAUGAAUGGAUGUUGAAUUUUGGGGAAAAAAACAACUUUUUUUUUUUCCUUUUACAUUUGAGAUGCAGAGCAGUAGCGUCCUUAGAGAAUAAACUCUGGAGUCAAUGCCUGGACCUUAAUGAACAGUGGAUGACAUGUUAUUUUCUUUUUUCUUCUUUUAACUUUUAUUUUAAGCUCAGGGGUACAAGUGCAGGUUUUUUACAUAGGUAAAGUUGUGUCAUGGGGGUUUGUUGUACAGAUUAUUUUGUCACCCAGGUAUUAAGCCUGGUACUCAUUGUUUUUCCUCAUCCUCUCCCUCCUCCCAUCCUCUACCCUCCAACAAGCCCCAGUGUGUGUUGUUCCCCUCUAUGUGUACAUGAGUUCUCAUCAUUUGGUUCCCACUUGUAAGUGAGAACAUGCAGUGUUUGGUUUUCUGUUCCUAUAUUAGUUUGCUAAGGAUAAUGGCCUCCAGCUCCACCUAUGUUCCUGCAAAGGACAUGAUCUCAUUUUUUAUGGCUUCAUAGUAUUCCAUGAUGUAUAUGUACCACAUUUCCUUUAUCCAUUCUGUCAUUGAUGGGCAUUUAGGUUGAUUUCAUGACUUUGUUGUUAUGAAUAGUGCUGCAAUGAACAUACACAUGCAUGUGUCUUUAUGAUAGAACAAUUUACAUUCUUUGGGGUAUAUACCCAGCAAUGGGAUUGCUGGGUCAAAUGUUAUUGCUGACAUUAGGUCUUUGAGGAAGUGCCACACGGUUUUCCACUAUGGUUAAACUAAUUUACACUCACACCAACAGUGUAUAUGUGUUCCUGACAGAUUCUUUUCAAGGGCAUGCAGUUCUCACACUUGUUGGUGUCAGCACUUCUUACAGUCUUAAGAUUGAAGAUUACAAAGAGCUUUUGUUCUUGUGGAUUAUGUAUCUAUCAAUGUUUAUCAUGUUACAAAUUAAAGCUGAUAUUGUAAAAUAUUGAUUCAUUUUAAUACAACAAUAAUAAACUCAAUCCAUGUUAAGUAACAUAUUUUUGUAUGAAAAGUAUCAUAUUCUCCAGAACAAAAUGAAAUGGAGUCUGUCUGUUGAGUGACAUAUUAAACUCAUCCCACCUAUCUUCAAGCCUAAUACUACUUCUUACCUUCCAGCCUUCAAGCGAUUGUAAUCGUAUGUUAUACUUCCACCUAUGUUAUAAACCACACAAUAUAUUAUUAUUUUUGCUUUAAGCAGUAAUUUUUAAAAAUAAUUUGUAAAAAUAACAAAAAGCUAUUUAAAUAUAGCUACAUAUAUGCAAGCCCAAAUCUGACUUCAAGCUUUGAUGUGGGGGGAACUUUUUAGCUUAUUUAUUCACUUAUGCAUUAGUCAUGAUUGCUGCAUCUGCAGAAACUCACGUGAAAAUAAUGUGCUAAAUUGUCAAAUGUUUGGGGUGGCUUCUACUGUUGGACCAUACACAACCUUCACAUUUCAGAUAUUCUUACUUUAGGGACUAUUGAGCAAGCAGAGAAGAAAGCCUUACUAUGCACUGUUUUUAUUAAUUCUCUUCCAAUUGCUUUCUUUUCCUGCCCUUCCAGUUGUAGUUAAACAGCGGGGAGAACAGAGUUGUCCUGCUGGGGCAGUGGUUCACAGCUCCAUGGGGCCCCUAGAGACAGAGCACUACGGAAGGGAGCCCCAUUCCCAAGCAUGGUGUCCAAUACACUGAAAGAAUAACUGGGCUCAGUAAUGCACCUAGAGACUCAGAUUCCAGACCUGCCCACUUGCUUUACUAUCCAAAACAACCAUGACACAUGACUUCUCUGGCGGGGUGUUGGCCAAGACAAACUGAACUAUAGAAGAUCCUUGACUUGCCAACGUUCAAAUGAUGAACUUUCAAAAAUAGCGAAACUGGCUGCAGAGCAAAAGCUUUUCAGCUCUGCACAACACCAACAGAUGGCGCUAAGUGUCACCCUUGUGGAGAGCAGAGGGACCUCGGAAGGGCCUUUGGAAAUCUAAUCUGGUUUUGAGUUCUUGGUGGGAAAAUGCACCUUUAAGUUGGGGGAGUUUGAAGACGUUGCCAAGACACGUGCUGCAGCAUUUGAUCUUUUCUGCCGCACUGGCUUCUGCAAUUAACAUGCUUUCACCAGUGAAACUCAGGUUGCGGGGAGAGCAUUCUUCCAGGUUCAUGCCUGUUGUCAUGGAGUAAUUAUAAUUCAUGUCUCCGUUCACAGUGUCCUGGUUUGUAGAAUAAAAUAUCUGGUCCACCCA
rnacentral:lncRNA from 1 species